AAAAGACAUGAGAGAAUAUCGCAAAAGCUUUCCACGUACGUACGUAACGGAGGGGAGGAAUUAAGAAAUGAAUCGGGAAGGAAGAAAGCACCGCCCGUCUACCUCCAUGACAUGCGCCGCCCCACUCCUUUGGUUGCUCUUUAUCAUGUGUUGGUGGUUGGCUGGUUGCAUUGGAUGUGGAGCCUCCGUACUAAGUGAAUGAAAACUGGGAUUGCACCCAAUUGAAUAAAUUAGUGGCGUAACCCAUCCCCAAAAGCAUAUAUGAUUUUGCAGCUGCAGUGACGUCCAGACAAAUUCCUCUUUUUCCCUAUUUUUGUUUUCUUUUCUUGUUUGAACGUGCCACGGUUCAAUGAAUUGAUGGAAAACAGGGCCAAAUUAGAGUUGGAACACGCAAUUCUCUCAUAUAUGGCAUGUACGUAACAAAGGGGCAAAGUGACAAAGACGACGACGUAGUACAGAGAGGGAAUAUCGAAGCCUCCUAAUCAUGAAUCAUGAAUCAUGAUUGCUUUAUCCACUUAUUUGAGACGCAAUGCGGUUGCCAAAUCACAAUCACACGCCUA